GUAACCUGCCUGUAAGACUGGGAUAACUCCGGGAAACCGGGGCUAAUACCGGAUGGUUGUUUGAACCGCAUGGUUCAAACAUAAAAGGUGGCUUCGGCUACCACUUACAGAUGGACCCGCGGCGCAUUAGCUAGUUGGUGAGGUAACGGCUCACCAAGGCGACGAUGCGUAGCCGACCUGAGAGGGUGAUCGGCCACACUGGGACUGAGACACGGCCCAGACUCCUACGGGAGGCAGCAGUAGGGAAUCUUCCGCAAUGGACGAAAGUCUGACGGAGCAACGCCGCGUGAGUGAUGAAGGUUUUCGGAUCGUAAAGCUCUGUUGUUAGGGAAGAACAAGUACCGUUCGAAUAGGGCGGUACCUUGACGGUACCUAACCAGAAAGCCACGGCUAACUACGUGCCAGCAGCCGCGGUAAUACGUAGGUGGCAAGCGUUGUCCGGAAUUAUUGGGCGUAAAGGGCUCGCAGGCGGUUUCUUAAGUCUGAUGUGAAAGCCCCCGGCUCAACCGGGGAGGGUCAUUGGAAACUGGGGAACUUGAGUGCAGAAGAGGAGAGUGGAAUUCCACGUGUAGCGGUGAAAUGCGUAGAGAUGUGGAGGAACACCAGUGGCGAAGGCGACUCUCUGGUCUGUAACUGACGCUGAGGAGCGAAAGCGUGGGGAGCGAACAGGAUUAGAUACCCUGGUAGUCCACGCCGUAAACGAUGAGUGCUAAGUGUUAGGGGGUUUCCGCCCCUUAGUGCUGCAGCUAACGCAUUAAGCACUCCGCCUGGGGAGUACGGUCGCAUGACUGAAACUCAAAGGAAUUGACGGGGGCCCGCACAAGCGGUGGAGCAUGUGGUUUGAUUCGAAGCAACGCGAAGAACCUUACCAGGUCUUGACAUCCUCUGACAAUCCUAGAGAUAGGACGUCCCCUUCGGGGGCAGAGUGACAGGUGGUGCAUGGUUGUCGUCAGCUCGUGUCGUGAGAUGUUGGGUUAAGUCCCGCAACGAGCGCAACCCUUGAUCUUAGUUGCCAGCAUUCAGUUGGGCACUCUAAGGUGACUGCCGGUGACAAACCGGAGGAAGGUGGGGAUGACGUCAAAUCAUCAUGCCCCUUAUGACCUGGGCUACACACGUGCUACAAUGGACAGAACAAAGGGCAGCGAAACCGCGAGGUUAAGCCAAUCCCACAAAUCUGUUCUCAGUUCGGAUCGCAGUCUGCAACUCGACUGCGUGAAGCUGGAAUCGCUAGUAAUCGCGGAUCAGCAUGCCGCGGUGAAUACGUUCCCGGGCCUUGUACACACCGCCCGUCACACCACGAGAGUUUGUAACACCCGAAGUCGGUGAGGUAACCUUUUAGGAGCCAGCCGCCGAAGGUGGGACAGAUGAUUGGGGUGAAGUCGUAACAAGGUAGCCGUAUCGGAAGGUGCGGCUG
rnacentral:rRNA from 1 species